rnacentral:lncRNA from 1 species
GCCUGAAAUAAGCUGUAUCAUGAUAUCAUUUUGAUCUUAACCUCCACUACUAAAUAUCUAAUGUAGUCAUUGAAAGUGGCCUCUCUUUCGUCAGAGUUGAAUCCAUUAAAUGAAAAUCUCAAGGAAAACAUUUAAGUGUUAUACACAGAUGACAAAAUCCAUGUUCGCAUCUCUAUUCGUACAUCAAACGGAAGUUUUGUGUACUUUAUAUAUGAGGUAUAUCUCUGGUCUACCUAAAAG